GGGGGCCGCGGCGACGAGGGGAUCGCCGUGAGGCGGCAGUGCCCUUGCGGCCAGGAGGGCAGUGGUACACGGGGUGCAUCGGGAAGAGCGCGCCAACGGGAGUGUUUAACUGCUGCAGUACAAACCCACUCCAUGUGAGCUGUCCAAGUCUGUCUGCUCGGUGGAAAACAGAACUGCUCUCCUUAUCUCCCCACAGUGUCUGUGGGAAGGAAGACUGAAGCUGAUGAUACCCAAAGGAGUACUACUGUGAGUGCAAAGGGAAGAUUAUAAACAUCAGAUGAUAAAAAGUGUUUACAUAUCUACUGUUGGGUGUAAUUACUGAAGCUUGGAAAAGAUGAAGUAACUUUUAUUUGUACACCUAAAAGAAGAAGAUAAGUUAAAGUACUUAUAUAGAUCAGCCUCAAACAUGAAAGUGUGAGAUAAACAAUGCCAACAACACUGCAACAUAAAACCCAGAUUUCAAGCCAAACAUCCAUGAAGAAAGAAGUGUUCCAUGGAAAAUAUCAUAUUCUUGCAGUCUUUCUGACCACAGAGUUACACUCAUUAUGGUAAAGCUAUAAUUGCAGCCUUGUGAAUACAGUGCCACAGACAAUGGCCUGUCAGUAUUUUUCCCCUAUAAACUCUCAUGUGAGGUUUGCAGUUUUGUGAAAUACAAUUUUCUUUGGCUGGGAUAUUCAGCUACAUUCUCAUCCCAGAAAUUGACCUUUUUUGUGUGCAUGUUUGUUUCCUUUACAGAGUUGUUCAAAGUUCAUUGUUUGGUAAGUGCCUGAGCCUUUCUGAUUGCUUGGCUGCUUGUGCCUUAUCUGUACUGUGAGGAUGUGUGGAGAGUUUGCUGUCACUGGUAAUGCAUCAAUGCUUUGUAGUAUUUAGGGCUCUGUCAGACUGUUGCAGAGUCCACACUUUGGACCAAACUCCCUACAAUUGUAGUGAUGUGGUUUGGGAAAGAGCAGCAGGAUUAUAGCAAAUUAGCACUGGCUAGCAUACCCAGGCACACACAGAGCAAAAUGUGCUUUAGGGAAUACUAGAGUAUAUUAUUACAGCUAUGGAAGGAAGGAGAGUUGGCCAGGCCAGUUAAAUGGGUAAAAUUGUAAAGAUUUAUCUGCCUUAAAGACAAAAGAAAUUCUGAAUUGAUGUUUCAAAAAAAAACUCCUAAAACCUGUAGGAUUAGUGAACCCCUGCAACAUGCAAAAAUCAUUUGUACAGUUCCAGUUUUGAUUCUUUGUUUGGUUUAGCUAAGAGUCUUCUGAGGGUCUCCUUCUCACAACUCUGUGAGAUUGUGGUAAUAGAGAUCCAAAUCAGCCCAGUUUGUUUUUUUUCACAGAUAACUCAAGGGGAAAAUACAGUGUCAACGUUGAAUGCUGAUCCCCAGAUUGAAGUAUGUUUAGUUACAAAUGCUAACCAUGUAACACCUGCAUGUGAAUCCCGUAUGAAAUAGGACAUAUGAAAUAACUGUACGUGUAAUGCCUUACUUGAAAAUAAUUAUUUUGAGACAAAUAUUACAUGCACUUAAGGGAUCUCACCUAUGGUUAGAUACAGUUCACUAAAUACAAAUUUAUUCAGUGUCAAUCAGUGCUCGGCAAGAAAACACUGAAAUCCUUGUGCUGCAGAGAUCUCUUGUUGCUUCAGCAACUCAUUCAUUACAUGUUGCAGGGAAAAACUGCUGAGUUCACAUAGUUUAAAACAAAUACAAAUCAAAGCGCUUUAUUGGCAGAGUGUAAUUAUCCAGCAAUCAGUGAACUAUGGAAACGAGAUCAGUAAUACAAAUAGGCUAACCAUGCUAGACAUUUCUAAACAGUCUGCUAUAACUAAUCCCAGAAACACACAGGUGCACAUAUGCAGAGUUGUAUGCAGCCCCUCAACUCAUGGCCACUAUGUGUUACCAAAACACCCCCCUUCCCAAAGACUGCAGAUUUCCAUUUGCAUGUCUCCUGUGGGAAAUGUGAAUCCUCUACCUUUUUACAUAUCCCUGCAGUUCCCUACAAGUCAUGGGCUGAACCACACACCCUUGAGACAGUUGUUUCCCUUCCAACGUCUCUCCUGUUACUAGUUUUCACACUUCAUUUAUAUUUUUUUUCAGUCUUACUUCUGCUUUGUGUCAAGUCUUUGUAAUUCCCCAGUAACCGUUUACACACAGAACCACACACAGAAUCACUAGGUUGGAAGAGACCCCCAAGAUCAUCGAGUCCAACUCAUGCCCAAACACCUCAACUAGACCAUGGCACUGAGUGCCACAUCCAGUCUGUUUUUAAACACAUUCAGAGAUGGUUUAAUCUGACUGAUGAUCAUCUUCUGUAACAUGUUCAGUUUGGGCAAGUGUUGAUCGGGCAGUUUGGUGUGUUUCUUCUGCAGGCGCACACAGAUACUCAAUUCACACACAUCUUUAUCUUCAGGGAUGACAGUUCCUAUGCCAUUUGUUGAGGGUGUGCUGUGCAUCCCUGCCAGGUCCAUAGUGAGGGAGAGCCCUCCUUGAGGACCUUGGCAGGUGCAUGGGCCACAGGAGCAGGGAGAGCAAGGGGCAUGGCUGAGCAGCUGCCUGCAGCCAUGUGGCUGACACUGUUCAAACCAGAGUGCCUUGUGUUCCGGAUGCAUCCCACGCAGUUGAAGGUAAUAAUAAGUGGACAAGCAAACCUAUUCCCAGACUCACUCCAUGCUCCAAAACCCAAAAAUAAAAUUAACAGUUGCUUUACUAAAUGUGUUUUGAACACCUAUUAUGAUUCUCGAUAAAGUCGUCAUAAGUGGGAUGGAAACAGCAAAUUGGAUCAUUGGAAAAACUGCAGAGAGACCAUCUGGGCCUGGAGUUUUAAUGGAUGGUAAAGAAUUUACAUUUGAUAUGCCCACAGUUUACAUUUUUUGAGGUGAUAAAGAUAUUUGGAUAAUUUUAUUUUUUGGAUGUUUUGCAUAAAUUGAAGAGCCAUGAUUGAAACUGGAACCGGAGUCAGGAAAUAACCAGAUUGUGUACAACGUGGUGAAGUGCUAACAAAUACCCAUAUGCUACAUGAUUAAUUUAGUAUAAAAUGCCAGUUGUGGAUUUGAUUUGUCAGCAGUUGGCUUGGGUUUUGUGAUUACUGGCCAAUAAUUUAACUGAUGAUUUGAUCUAUAACAGAAUCCUCAACUUUUGGGAAUGAAGGAGAGUUGCAGUGAUAGUGAAAUGCAUUAACUAUACGCAGAGCUGCUAGAAUGGAUGCUGAUACCUUCUGGGCUCUUCAUGCAGCUGAUGAAUAGCCUUGUCUCACCACAGUAUGAUUUAUGGUGGUAAAUCAGGACAGGGGAUAGAACCAAGUGACUGCUAUUGUUUCAAUAUGUCUUCAUGCAGUGUUUUUGAAUUGCAGAUAGAGAGGCAAAGAACUCUCUGGGUCUGACUAUAAAUACAGCUGCAAAGUAUGGCACCACUCUGCCUCUGAGUCAACCUCUAAUCUCUGUUCUUGGCAUAUCAGCACUGGGCCGUAGGGAAGGGCCAUCUGUCAGGCGUAAUUGGAAAUGGAGGCACUGACCAUCUGCAGGUAUUUAAAGUCUCCUGACAUUUUUUGCAAGCUGGAGGAUAAUUCAGUGUUAUAAUUUAUAGUGUGUCUACCUAUUAUCCUCUACAUUUUUCAAGGGAAUAUAUUAUUACAUUAUAUUACAUUAAUACAUUAUUCUUGGUCUGUUGUCUUUCUGUUGUCUAUCUCUUUAUGUCACAAACUUAUUUUUCACCCUUUGCAGCAAUUAACUCUUGACAGGAGUGACCCCUGUAAAUCUUUGUGAGUUUGAGAAUUUUUCAGAAGAUGUGCCAUGUAAAUUACAGGUCGCUGUUAUUGGUGGACCAAGCAGAAGCUUCCCUUAAAGCUUUAAGAUUUUAUUAGGCUAAAAUGGAAUUCAAAUCUGGUUUCUACUUUGCAGAAGACGAUCAAUGCUAUAUUACAUUGCUUUCCUAUUGUCUGUAUGGUGUAAAUGAUUUAGCAAAUGGAAAGGCCAGCUCUGUUCCAAAGAAAAGAUGUAUAAAUGUAUAAAGAUGCCUGCAGAAUUCCUGUAUGUGCACAGCUAUAGCUGUUAACAGCAAAUAAUAAUGUACACUGCUUAUGGGA